rnacentral:lncRNA from 1 species
UUUUUUUUUUUUUUUUCCGAACGCCCGCAGCAGGGUCAGAAGGGAGGUGGUCGCCCUCCGUCGUGGUCUGGCGUGUAUUCCGAGCCUUGGUGUCUGGCGGUUUCCAAGCGUUGGUGUCUGGCGGUUUCCGACCGUUGGUGUCUGGCGGUUUCCGACCGUUGGUGUCUGGCACGCGCCACCCUCUCUUGCUUUGGUUGCGCCAUGCCGAUGUACCAGACAAGAAGACAAGAAAAUGAUUUGAGGACAGCUUCAAUCGCGGUGUGAAGAAGAAAGCAGCAAAACGACCACUGAAAACAACGCCGGUGGCAAAAUAUCCAAAGAAAGGGUCCCAAGCGGUACAUCGUCAUAGCCGGAAACAGUCAGAGCCACCAGCCAAUGAUCUUUUCAAUGCUGCGAAAGCUGCCAAAAGUGACAUGCAGGGAUGUCCUUCCUGAGAUCCGUGCUAUCUGCAUUGAGGAAAUUGGGUGUUGGAUGCAAAGCUACAGCACGUCUUUCCUCACCGACAGCUAUUUAAAAUAUAUUGGUUGGACUCUGCAUGAUAAGCACCGAGAAGUCCGCGUGAAGUGCGUGAAGGCUCUGAAAGGGCUGUACGGUAACCGGGACCUGACCGCACGCCUGGAGCUCUUCACUGGCCGCUUCAAGGACUGGAUGGUUUCCAUGAUCAUGGACAGAGAGUACAGUGUGGCAGUGGAGGCCGUCAGAUUACUGAUACUUAUCCUUAAAAUCGGCUCCCAGACACCUGCCACUCGUGAAUGCAUCUGAUAAACUCACUCACACUGAGGCCUUGGGGACUGAGAGUGCGAUGACAUGGAUCCUGCGGACAAACCGCCCCAGGGCGUACCUAGCACCGAAGCAUCAGGCGCCACUAGGUCUCCAGCUCCUUCUCGGAUGACGUCCUUCAGCACGCCCCGGUCCCCCGAGAUGUCCAGCAUCCUCUGACUUAACCGCUCGUACAGGGACUGAUGGAGAAUGAAAGCCAGGCCUCAGAGCCGCAGACCCACCCGGCCACCCCUCAGCGUCUACGCCCCCGAAACGUCUGGGCCCUCACCUGGCCGGGGGCGUCGUCCCCUUCCAGGACUCCCUGGUUUAACGCGCUUCCCCCCAUGUCCUAGCUGCCCUCCCUGUGGCGUGAGCCUUCGGCCUGGUGCGCCCCGCUGCCCUUCCUGGCUGUGACUCUGGUGGGGUUCCGAAG